rnacentral:rRNA from 1 species
AGAGUUUGAUCAUGGCUCAGAUUGAACGCUGGCGGCAGGCCUAACACAUGCAAGUCGAGCGGUAACACAGAGAGCUUGCUCUCGGGUGACGAGCGGCGGACGGGUGAGUAAUGUCUGGGAAACUGCCUGAUGGAGGGGGAUAACUACUGGAAACGGUAGCUAAUACCGCAUAACGUCGCAAGACCAAAGUGGGGGACCUUCGGGCCUCAUGCCAUCAGAUGUGCCCAGAUGGGAUUAGCUAGUAGGUGGGGUAAUGGCUCACCUAGGCGACGAUCCCUAGCUGGUCUGAGAGGAUGACCAGCCACACUGGAACUGAGACACGGUCCAGACUCCUACGGGAGGCAGCAGUGGGGAAUAUUGCACAAUGGGCGCAAGCCUGAUGCAGCCAUGCCGCGUGUAUGAAGAAGGCCUUCGGGUUGUAAAGUACUUUCAGCGAGGAGGAAGGCGUUAAGGUUAAUAACCUUGGCGAUUGACGUUACUCGCAGAAGAAGCACCGGCUAACUCCGUGCCAGCAGCCGCGGUAAUACGGAGGGUGCAAGCGUUAAUCGGAAUUACUGGGCGUAAAGCGCACGCAGGCGGUCUGUCAAGUCGGAUGUGAAAUCCCCGGGCUCAACCUGGGAACUGCAUUCGAAACUGGCAGGCUAGAGUCUUGUAGAGGGGGGUAGAAUUCCAGGUGUAGCGGUGAAAUGCGUAGAGAUCUGGAGGAAUACCGGUGGCGAAGGCGGCCCCCUGGACAAAGACUGACGCUCAGGUGCGAAAGCGUGGGGAGCAAACAGGAUUAGAUACCCUGGUAGUCCACGCCGUAAACGAUGUCGACUUGGAGGUUGUGCCCUUGAGGCGUGGCUUCCGGAGCUAACGCGUUAAGUCGACCGCCUGGGGAGUACGGCCGCAAGGUUAAAACUCAAAUGAAUUGACGGGGGCCCGCACAAGCGGUGGAGCAUGUGGUUUAAUUCGAUGCAACGCGAAGAACCUUACCUACUCUUGACAUCCAGAGAACUUAGCAGAGAUGCUUUGGUGCCUUCGGGAACUCUGAGACAGGUGCUGCAUGGCUGUCGUCAGCUCGUGUUGUGAAAUGUUGGGUUAAGUCCCGCAACGAGCGCAACCCUUAUCCUUUGUUGCCAGCGGUUAGGCCGGGAACUCAAAGGAGACUGCCAGUGAUAAACUGGAGGAAGGUGGGGAUGACGUCAAGUCAUCAUGGCCCUUACGAGUAGGGCUACACACGUGCUACAAUGGCAUAUACAAAGAGAAGCGACCUCGCGAGAGCAAGCGGACCUCAUAAAGUAUGUCGUAGUCCGGAUUGGAGUCUGCAACUCGACUCCAUGAAGUCGGAAUCGCUAGUAAUCGUAGAUCAGAAUGCUACGGUGAAUACGUUCCCGGGCCUUGUACACACCGCCCGUCACACCAUGGGAGUGGGUUGCAAAAGAAGUAGGUAGCUUAACCUUCGGGAGGGCGCUUACCACUUUGUGAUUCAUGACUGGGGUGAAGUCGUAACAAGGUAACCGUAGGGGAACCUGCGGUUG